ensembl:lncRNA
CGCAGGAAGUGGGCUCUCGGCGCCGCUCCAUUCCUUUCUUCUGAGCCAGGCGUCUUCGAGCCUUUAUCAAUGUUAUUUUUACACUUUGAGAAAUGUUCGAGUGAGCACUUGUGUGGUGCCACCUUCUCCUUGUGGCACUGGGGCCUUGAAGAAAUUCUCCGGCUUAUUUAUAGGCCCUGUGUAUUUUUACUUGGAUCCCGAACUUGAGCCUCUUGGAAGUGCUGGUCUCAGUAGCCGCAGCUGCUGGGUCAUAGUUGGGACAUGCACGUGUGUGUUUAGUCCCAGCAUGUGGACUCUUAGUUGUGGCAUGUGGACUCUAGUUCCUGAGGAAGGAUGAAACCCCCGGCCCCUUGCAUUGUAGAUGGAUGGAUGUGCAAAGGGCAGGAGAUUCAUUAACGAAGAGAACUGGAGGAGAAGAGACUUUCUGCCUAAACUAGCCUCCAGCUGAGAGACAGCCCUCGGCCUGGAUCCCUUUCAAUCCUCAGUUUCUGGAACUUCAUAGCCGCUGUUGGGGAACCAUUCUGGGCUGGCAUAUGGAGAUCAAAACACGCCAUCCCAAAGCACAC